AGUACAAUGACAACACUAGGAAAUAUGCGAAAGCCGAGACGUUGAUGACGGUGACUGAUGCGGUGCACGACAUAGCCUUCUCCCCGAACCUGGGGCGGUCCUUCCACGUGCUCGCCAUAGCAACCAAAGAUGUUCGGAUCUUUAAGUUGGUACCUUUGCGGAAGGAGAGCAGCUCAACAGGCCCUACUAAAGUGCCCAUAUGUUAUACUGACCUGUUCUGCAUCUCUCUCUCGUCGGACAGGAAGGAGAGCAGCUCAACAGGCCCUACUAA